rnacentral:misc_RNA from 1 species
GUAGACAACAGCUCCUAUGGGCCUGAGAAAAUCAUUGCACACACUCUUAUGCAAUGUUAAGUUGCACUACAGUUAGCAACAAAACUCAAUAUGCCAUAAUGAAAAAUUAUGAUAGGAAAACGACAAAGGCUUUGAUAGCAAAUGCAGCAGAAGACCUAGCAAGACACUAAGUGAUAAAGAAUCAAGUUUAUCACUGACACACAUCCACACUAAUAUGAAAUAACAUAUCCAACUCCAAGUUUGCCAACCAAUAUUGUUUUAGAGAUUAAGUCAGGUCCUUGCUCAAAUAACAAACUACACAAAUAUCAUCAUGGCCUCAAUCAACGGGAAUUUGUACAUAAAAUUAGAAAUACUUUUUAUAACUGAAAGUCUGAAAACACUAGAGAUAAUGUUGGACUUCUUACACCAAUCCAAAACAU